rnacentral:pre_miRNA from 12 species
GCAGCCCGCGGGCGCCCGGUGCUCGGUUUGUAGGCAGUGUAAUUAGCUGAUUGUCCUCUGCUGCUUACAAUCACUAACUCCACUGCCAUCAAAACAAGGCACAGCAUCACCCGCCGGCCCG